rnacentral:rRNA from 1 species
AUUGAACGCUGGCGGCAGGCCUAACACAUGCAAGUCGAACGAGUGGCGGACGGGUGAGUAACGUCUGGGAAACUGCCUGACGGAGGGGGAUAACCACCGUAAACGGUAGCUAAUACCGCAUACCACCGGCUGUGCCCAGGUGUGAUUAGCUUGUUGGUGGGGUAACGGCUCACCAAGGCGACGAUCCCUAGCUGGUCUGAGAGGAUGACCGGCCACACUGGAACUUAGACGCGGUCCAGACUCCUACGGGAGGCAACGGUGGGGAAUAUUGCGCAUUGAGCGCAAGCCUGAUACAGCCAUGCCGCGUGUAUGGAGAAGACUUGCGGGUUGUAAAAUACUUUCAGCAGAGGGGCGGUACCCGCAGAGAAAGCACCGGCUAACUCCGUGCCAGCAGCCGCGGUAAUUC